CGGGUAGCAAUACCCAGUCGAGCGGCGGACGGGUGAGUAACGCGUGGAUAAUCUACCUUUUGGUGGGGGAUAACCCGGGGAAACUCGAGCUAAUACCGCAUGAGAUCGAAAGAUGAAAGGGGCGCAAGUCCCGCCGGAAGAGGAGUCCGCGUCCGAUUAGCUAGUUGGUAGGGUAAUGGCCUACCAAGGCGACGAUCGGUAGCCGGCCUGAGAGGGUGAUCGGCCACACUGGAACUGAGACACGGUCCAGACUCCUACGGGAGGCAGCAGUGGGGAAUUUUGCGCAAUGGGCGAAAGCCUGACGCAGCAACGCCGCGUGGAGGAUGAAGGUCUUUGGAUUGUAAACUCCUGUCAGCAGGGAAGAAGGCCUCGGCGCAGAGCCGAGGAUUGACGGUACCUGCAGAGGAAGCCCCGGCUAACUCUGUGCCAGCAGCCGCGGUAAUACAGAGGGGGCAAGCGUUAUUCGGAAUUAUUGGGCGUAAAGGGCGCGUAGGCGGCCGUGCAAGUGGAAGGUGAAAUCCCUCGGCUCAACCGAGGAACUGCCUUUCAAACUGCUUGGCUUGAGUCCGGGAGAGGUGAGUGGAAUUCCCAGUGUAGCGGUGAAAUGCGUAGAUAUUGGGAGGAACACCAGUGGCGAAGGCGGCUCACUGGACCGGAACUGACGCUGAGGCGCGAAAGCGUGGGGAGCAAACGGGAUUAGAUACCCCGGUAGUCCACGCCGUAAACGAUGAGUGCUUGGUGUAGCGGGUAUCGACCCCUGCUGUGCCGAAGUCAACACAUUAAGCACUCCGCCUGGGGAGUACGGUCGCAAGGCUGAAACUCAAA
rnacentral:rRNA from 1 species